rnacentral:rRNA from 1 species
AAGUUAAUUAGGGCGCACGGUGUGAUGCCUUGGCACUACGAGCGAUGAAGGACUGACUCAACGACAUUUUCAGGGGGAGAGCAGUAAGACGCCUUGACAUCCCUAGUCUCCGCAAUGGGGAAACCCAGCGCUGCUACUAGGCAGUAUAUCUGGAGUGAAAGUACUUAGCUCAGUGUUUAAAGGCUUACGCAGAGAACUUGAAACAGCUACAGUAUCCUGCAGUAAGAGAAGUAAAAACGAUUUCGUAAGUACGCGAGCGAACGCGAAGAAGGGCAGACCAAGAAGCUUUGCUUCUUGGGGUUGUAGGACUGCAACGGUGGACUUCGCAUUAUAGUCGAAUAACCUGGAAGGUUAUCAAAGAGGGAAUGAUCCGUAGAGCGGAGAUAGGUGUAUACCUAGCGAAGCUUAAUCCUUAUAGGGCUUUACCCGCGAACAUCAGUUGAAUCCGGAGGACCAUUUCCCACCCUAAAUACUCGCUUAGGUGACCGAUGGUGACCAGUACCGUUGGAGAAGGUGAAGAACCCGAGAGGGAGUGAAAUAGCACCCUGAAACGUGUGCCUACCAAGAAGUCCGGCCAGUUAAUGGUGAGAGCGGCGGCCAUGCCUUUUGGUAGAAUGAACCGGCGAGUUGGCUUAUGAGCGGGUUAAGUUGAGAACGCACGGAGCCGUAGGGAAACCGAGUCUGAAUUGGCGACUUAGAUCAUGAUGUUAGACCGAACCUAGUAGUAUCCCAUGAGCGAGGGUGAGGUGUAGCGUUAAGACGACUGGAGGCCGAACCAGGACACGUUGAAAUUUUUGGUGAUCUGCUGGAUAGCGGAGAAUUCCAAACCGACUGGGAGAUAGCUGUUUCUCUCCGAAUGCUUUAGGCUAGCGUAGAAAUGUAAGUGUAUUGGAGCUAGAGCAGCUGUUGGGUAGGGGUCCGUGCUAGAUUACCCAAUCUAGAUAAACUCGAAUGCUAACUACACAUGUUCGGCGGUCAGACUGCGAGGUGGCUAAGAUCCGGUAGUGCGAGAGGGAAACAGCCCAGACCAACAGGCUAAGGUCCCAAAUAUAGUUAAGUGGAAAAGGAUGUGGGUCUGCACAGACACUAGGAUGUAGCUCAGGAGGCAGCUUAUCGUUCGGAAGAGGUGCGUAUAGGCUCUACUGUCGAGUGGACCCUGCGCCGAACAAGUGUACGCGGGGCUAAACAUAUUACGAAGCCUUUGGAUUGUAUUUUUCAAUGGUAGUGAGAGUCGUUCUUAACCGCGAUUGAAGGUAUACCGUGAGGAGGCUGUGCGCGUUAAGAGUGAAAAUGCGGUAUGAGUAGCGCAAGGAAUAGUGAGAAUCGUGAAUCCACCCUAAGACUUAAGGUUUCAGGGAGGCAUCGUCCGCUCCUGGGUUAGUUCGGGACCUAAGGCGAGGCGACAGGUCGUAGGUCGAUGGACAGAACUGGUAUGUACUAUUCCAGUAGCUAGAUAUGAUCGGUGAUGGAGGGACGCAGUAGGCUAAGAAGAUCCAGGUAAGCGAUUCGGUCUAAGCAGUGAGGGGUGUAGAUGUGUCAAAGAUGUUCUCUCUUUAACUGUGAGCUGUGAUGGGAAGACACUGAGCGGUUGCGAAAGCUCCUGAUGUCACACUGCCAAGAAAGCUUCUAGGUAAACGUCAUAUCUACCCGUACGCAACCGCCACAGGUAGUCGGCGAUAGCCUCAGGUGUCGAGGAACUUCUCGAAGGAAACUCGGCAAAAUGCCCGUAACUUCGGGAGAAGGGGGUGCUGGUGUUAAAAGCCAGUCCGCAGUGGAAUAGGCCAGCAAUGUUUAUCAAAACACAGCUCUCUGCUAAACCGCAAGGUGAUGUUAUAGGGGUGCCGCCUGCCAGGUGCUGGAAGUUAAGAGGUCUUAGACGUGAAGUCGAAGUAUGAAUGAAGCCCCAGUACGGCGCCGUAACGUAUAACGGUCCUAAGGUCGCGAAUUCCUUGUCGGUAAGUUCCGACCCGCACGAAAGGCGUAAUGAUUUGGGCACUGUCUCACGGGACUCGUGAAAACUGUUUAACCUGUGAGAUGCCAGGUACCCGCGCAGGACGGAAGACCCCAGUGGAGCUUUACUGUAAGUCGUAUAUUGAAGUACCUGUAAGUCAUGUCAGGAUAGGUAGGAGCAUUUGAAAUGGGACGCUAGUUGUCUGAGUUGAGGCGUUGUUGGGGUCUACCUUGACUUAUGGUUACUCGUAACCCGCUGGCAUAAUCGGCAGGGAGCGAGGUCUGACGACGCGUGGAUGGGGCGGUCGCGCUCUAAGAGUAACGGAGGCCGUCAGGUUGGCUUCAGGAUUGGUUGGAAAGUCAUCGUAGAGUGUAAAGGUAAAGCCAGCUGACUGGCGGCUACAGACUCGAGCAGGUGAGGAGAACUAGAUUAGUGAUCGCGUGGUACCGCAUGGAAGGGCCAUCGCUCAGACGGAUCAAGCUACCCUGGGGAUAACAGGCUUAUCUCCCCAAGAGGUUUCACAUCGACGGGGAGGUUUGGCACUCUCGAGUGUCGGCUCGGUCGCAUGCCCUGGGCUGUGUCGGGUCGCCAGGGGUUGGGCUGGUUUCAGCCAUUAAGGGCAGACGCGGCUGGGUUCAGAACGUUGUGAGACAGGUUGCGUCCCUAUCCGUCGCGGCCGUAGGUAAUUUGAGAGGAUCUGUCCUGGUACGAGAGGACCGGGAUGACUUACCGUGGGUUUUGAGGUGUCCAGUUGAUUUCGCCAGGAGCACGGCUGGAUCGCUAUCGUAGGAAGGGUAAGCGCUGAAGCAUCUAAGAGUGCGAGGCCAGCCUCAAGAUAAGAGGUUUAUCCCUUUCUAAGAAUUAAGAGCCAGAGAGAUGACUGCUGGUGAGUAGUGCUGGAGAGUGGGAAGGUUGGCGAGACUUGGAGCGGACCGUUAGCUAAUCGCUCGG